rnacentral:rRNA from 8 species
GGUGGUCCCACCUGACCCCAUGCCGAACUCAGAAGUGAAACGCCGUAGCGCCGAUGGUAGUGUGGGGUCUCCCCAUGCGAGAGUAGGGAACUGCCAGAC